rnacentral:lncRNA from 1 species
GUGAAUUGAGGUUUUUUUCUUAAGUUCUUAAAAGUCAUUUUAUAAAAGGAUAAAUUUAUCUUUAAAAUUUUGAAGAUAAAAUAAUUGAGAAAAUAGAACGGGGUUGAAAAUUUGAGAAAUCCAUCCAUGCAUAAUGACAAUGAAAACAUUAUUUCAUAUAUAGACAUUUCAUGUUUCGUGCGAAAAAAGGCAUUAGAAUUCACAAAAGCCAAAAAAAUAUUUGUAAUGAUUUUUUGCCAUAACUAGCCAAAAUGCUCAUGUAAGCUUACUUGUUCUCUUUUUGUGGAGAUGUGUUUUAAAAAAAGAAGCAUAAAUGGUUGGUUGCUCCCCUCUUUAUAUUUCAACUUUGAAAUUGUCAAGUCUAAUGUUUGGUAACCAAAUAUAAAAGGCAUGGCCAAUUGAAAGGCCUUCCAAAUCCUCCGCCAACUCCAAAUUGUAUUAUUCUUUGAAUGCCGAUACAAAUGGAUAAAAAGAAAAUACACAAAACUGGAAAAGAAAAAAAAAGAAAAGGAAAAUGUGGAUUUGAGCCAGCGAGCCAUAUAUGAGCCGGCUAGUGAGCGAGUGAGCUAUGACGACGUCAUUUUACGCGCCUUUCAUCCAUGGAUAUGAUAAGCAGUUGUAGUAGGUGAAUGGUGUCGUUUACUAAAUUGACCUACCACGGGACGAGUAAAGGACUUGGCGUUAGGUGAACCGUCCGACGUGGCAGCCGAUUGGUGGCUUAAGCUCUAACGUGUGGCCCACAAAAACCAAUCCUUUGUUUUUUUGGGGUCAGAAAAACAAUCCACUUUCUUCAUCCAAAAAACAAAAAACAAAAAAUCCACUUUAUUUUCCAAACAUCCCUCACCAACCCCCAACUGCAAUGCCC